UGCUUUUGUCACUAUCUAUUCAGCAGUGUAACAAGAAAACCAGAUCACCUUACCAAGGGGCAGGGGCGACCUGGUUAAAGAACAAUAGAAACGUGAUUGUUAUUUUUUUGUGAACUCUUUAAUAAAUGGUUUCAGAAGAAGAAGAAGAAGAAGAAGAAGAAGAAGAAGAAGAAGAAGAAUUACAACAAAUAACAAUAACAAUGAUCCCAUAAAUAUGAAUAUAUCUGUUCCUACUACAUAAUUACAGCUUAUUUAUGUUUUUUAAUAUUGAAAUUGAACAGCUAUUAUGUGCGGGAUGUUUGCCUUGAGCAAAGCAAAAGAUAUAUUUUUGCAUUGGCGGAAGAAGAAUUUUAGGUUCAGAUUGAAGACUUUUUAACAAGAACGAUUGGGAAUCAGAGACCAUAAACUCAUCUUUGUGAUCAGAUAGCUGCAAUAACCCUUUUUAAGUGAUGGAUUCAUUGGAAAACGGCAUAAAAACCCUGCCAAAUAAAUCUGGAGUGAGAUGAUAGGAGACGGUGGUAAGAGGAAGGAUGGAACAGCUGGAAGGACUCCUGGGUACACAGCUGGGAUGUGAGGAAUGGAAGACGGCCUCCCUUGAAGAGGAUGUUGAAGCUCUUCAGAGGGAGUGAAAGGAGAACAUCAAGCAGCUUCAGGGCGAGUCGGGCUAGAAGAAGCUUGAGGAGCUCCAUGACUUCCUUAUUCCACCCGAGACUGAAGAAAAGAAUCUCAGGCCCAGGGCUUCUUCGCCUGUUCUCCUCCAAGUGAAGAAGCCCUCAUUGUUAAGCUGGACCUUAACGUAGAGAAUAAUAUAAUGAAAGCUCUUGGGAAAGAGGUGCGUGACAGAUUUACAAUUUAAAGGAUAAGAAUUGAGAAGGAAAUAAAGACUGCCAUCCUAAAGAGUGCAGAGCUGAUAUAACACGGUAUAGAAACUAUGGAAGAUAUGGAAGUGGAUUAAGGCAGAGAGGAGCAGAAGGCAAUGGUCCUACUGAAGAACCUGGAAGAAGAGAUGGAGGAGAAAAGAGUGAAAGAGAAGGCCAGGAUAGAAGAGGAAAAUAAAGCAAAAGAGGAAGCAGCUGGGAUGGAGAAGUUGGACGUGAUGAAGAUGGUGGAGCGAGCAAUGAAGAGGUAAAAAGAAAGACAGAAGGAAGAGGAGCGAACAAAAAGAGCAGGCUCCGCUCCUGAAUCAAGAGAAACAGCACGAGGACAUGGGAGCAAAAGAAGGGAAGGAACCUUGAGCUAAACAAGCUGAAGGAAGAGAAGGAACGGGAAGAACAGGACCGUUGGGCCAAGAUGGAGGAAAAGAGAGACAAUAAGAGAAUUGAACAGGGGGCAAAAUAGUCAAGUGAAGAUGGGCCAAGGGAGAUUGGAGGUAGAAAAAGGGUGAGAUGGAAGAGGCAAAGCAGAGCGAAAAGAAAGGAGCGAAGAGGAGAAGCUGGCCAAGUUAAUAACCGAAGAAAGUGAGAGGAAGGAAUGAAGAUAUGGAGAAGAAAGUCUCAAUGAUGAGUGGAUGAGGGAGAAAUAGAGCCAAAAAGCCAGAAAAGUGUAUGAUCUCGAAGCCCUAAUGACCGUCCAGACGUAUGUUCACGGACUGUGGAACCCUAUCCCCCUCAGUGACGGAUAGGCACACAACCUGGAAUCAUCAUCGAUUGAAUCAUCGUCUGAGCUCUGUUGCCAAGGCGACCGAACAGCCUCUUGCUGCAUACGAGGAGAGUCGGAUGAUGCCUGUGGAUCGACUUCACCUCCAGGAAACAAACAAAAGAAACCCCAUCGCACUUUCAUUCCACGCUCAUUCGCUUCUUCUCUCGCUCCCUUUUCUCUUCUAUCUCUCACACACACACACACACACCCCACACACUCAUCCCCUUCUCCUUGCGUCGCUGUAGCAGACACACCAUCGCCUGCCUCUCUCGGUGGCUCUCUCCCUCUCCGUCUCUCUCUCCCUCUCUCUCUCUCUCUCUCUCUCUCUCUCUCUCUCUCUCCCUCUCUCUCUCUCUCUCUCUCUCUCCCUC
ensembl:lncRNA